ACUACCACUGACAGUUAUUUCACAACCACCGAUCUCGGACACGUCCAUUCACCCGUACCUACCGCGAAUUAUUCCAAUUACUCUUUGGAAACUUACACAACUAUCUACUGGUCAGUAUCGGCAUCUUCUCUAAUGCUUGUUUUACUCGCCUGUGUCUGCCUCCAAACUUACGUUUACAGGAAAGAAAAAAAUAAAAUAUAUGAUGGUUUGACGAGGGAGAAAACCAUGGGCAUCAAAACAUCAGUGGAAAUAGAAGAAGAUGAAGACUUGUGCGUGUGGUCUGUAAAGAUACUCAUGGAGAUAGAGCGGCCUCUAUUGGUGGAUAUAUUUAAAUGGGCAGGCGUUUGUGCUUUAUGUUUGGGGCUAUUGCUGGCGAUUCCUGCAACAUAUGCAUUAAUUCCACUACUCCUGUAUGACGUAUCACAAGCCAUUCACGUAUGUGUGUUGUAUAUGAAAAAGAUGGAAA